rnacentral:rRNA from 1 species
AUGGACAUUUCUCGACUUAAUUAUGAUGUCAUUACUCUCAUUCCUAAAGUCAAAGGAGCGGAAUUGAUCUCACAAUUUCGUCCUAUUGCAGUUAUUAAUAAUUUCGCUAAAUUCCCUGCUAAAGGGUUCGCCACUCGCCUCUCCCCCAUUGCUCAUCGAACCAUCAGCCCUUUUCAAUCUUCCUUUAUUAGAGGUCGAUUCAUUUUGGAUGGGAUCCUUUGUUUACAUGAAAUUGUGCAUGACCUCAAAACUUGUAAGUCUAAAGCCGUGAUCCUAAAGCUUGAUUUUGAGAAGGCUUACGACUCGGUGAGCUGGCCCUUUUUGAGAAAGGUUCUUCUGGCUAAAGGGUUUGAUGGAUCCUUUGUCCAUAGAAUCAUGCAAAUGGUCUCGGGGGGGGGGGGGCACACUGCCAUUUUUGUGAAUGGCCAGAUUAGUAAGUUUUUUGUCAAUGGUAGGGGCCUAAGACAAGGUGAUCCUGCCUCCCCCAUCUUGUUUAAUUUCGUAGUGGACGCCUUAUCUUGUAUUCUAUCCAGAGCAGCUAAUCAUGGCCAUAUUUCCCCGGUCAUCUCUCAUCUUAUUCCUAAAGGGGUUACUCAUUUAUAG